rnacentral:rRNA from 1 species
GAUCCUGGCUCAGGAUGAACGCUGGCGGCGUGCUUAACACAUGCAAGUCGAACGGAGUUUUUAAACGGAAGUUUUCGGAUGGAAGUUUAGAAACUUAGUGGCGGACGGGUGAGUAACGCGUGGGUAACCUGCCUCAUACAGGGGGAUAACAGUUAGAAAUGACUGCUAACACCGCAUAAUAUAGCGAAACCGCAUGAUUUUUGCUAUCAAAUAUUUAUAGGUAUGAGGUGGGCCCGCGUCUGAUUAGCUAGUUGGUGGGGUAAAAGCCUACCAAGGCGACGAUCAGUAGCCGGCUUGAGAGAGUGACCGGCCACAUUGGGACUGAGACACGGCCCAAACUCCUACGGGAGGCAGCAGUGGGAAUAUUGGACAAUGGGGGAAACCCUGAUCCAGCGACGCCCGCGUGAGUGAAGAAGUAUUUCGGUAUGUAAAGCUCUAUCAGCAGGGAAGAUAAUGACAGUACCUGACUAAGAAGCCCCGGCUAACUACGUGCCAGCAGCAGC